ensembl:snoRNA SNORD24 Small nucleolar RNA SNORD24
UGCAAAUGAUGUGAAAGAAUAUUUGCUAUCUGAGUAAAUCGAUGUUGACAUUUCCCACCAAGAUCACUGAUGCA